rnacentral:lncRNA from 1 species
UGAAUUGAGUGCCAUGCAAGAUGUCCCAGAAUCUAUCCUCUCUAAAGCCAAGGAAAUUGAAGAGAACAACAGACAACUCCUGGAUGACCUUAAGUGGAUACUCAUCAAGGUGAGCACUUCCCAUUAGUUACUUUCUCUCAUAAAGUAGGUAGGUUGUCAAAAUUAACAACAAAUCAAUUCUGAAAUACGUCAUCUUUCCAGAGUGAAACAUAGAUAUCUGAUCUUGUUCACAAUCUUUCAAUAAGACUGUUGUUCAACCUGUGUGUCAUAACUCCUUUGAGGGUCAAUUAACCUUUUCACAGCAGUCAUAUAACUGAUAUUGGGCAUAUCAGGUGUUUACAAUUACUCAAUAUAAUUUUAUUGUUGGGGGUCACCACAGUGAAGGGAAAUAUAUUAAAGUGUUACAGCAUUAGAAAUUUUGAGAACCACUGUUCUAAUAGUUUCCCAGCAUCUCCAAGUUUUUCAGAUGCUUCUUAUCUCUUUCCACCCUAGGGAUCAGAAUGAAACAAAGAUGUUUCUCUUAGGCAGUUAAAGGGCAGAUGAAAAAAGCUUUGGUCCUUCAAUCACAUUCAUCCCUAUC